UGAGGAAUAUUGGUCAAUGGACGAGAGUCUGAACCAGCCAAGUAGCGUGCAGGAUGACGGCCCUAUGGGUUGUAAACUGCUUUUAUAGGGGGAUAAAGUGUGCCACGUGUGGCAUAUUGCAGGUACCCUAUGAAUAAGGACCGGCUAAUUCCGUGCCAGCAGCCGCGGUAAUACGGAAGGUCCGGGCGUUAUCCGGAUUUAUUGGGUUUAAAGGGAGCGUAGGCCGUCUUAUAAGCGUGUUGUGAAAUGUCGGGGCUCAACCUGGGCAUUGCAGCGCGAACUGUGAGACUUGAGUGCGCAGGAAGUAGGCGGAAUUCGUCGUGUAGCGGUGAAAUGCUUAGAUAUGACGAAGAACUCCGAUUGCGAAGGCAGCCUGCUGUAGCGCAACUGACGCUGAAGC
rnacentral:rRNA from 1 species